GACGAACGCUGGCGGCGUGCCUAAUACAUGCAAGUAGGACGCAGUUGCGAACGGGUGAGUAACGAGUAGGUAACUGCCUAUUAGAGGGGGAUAACUAUUGGAAACGAUAGCUAAUACCGCAUACUAGUAGAUGGCCCUGCUUUGUAUUAGCUAGUAGGUAGGGUAAUGGCCUACCUAGGCGACGAUACAUAGCCGACCUGUGUGCUUGAUCUGCCACACUGGGACUGAGACACGGCCCAGACUCCUAGGGGAGGCAGCAGUAGGGAAUCUGCGGCAAUGGGGGGAACCCUGACCGCGCAACGCCGUGUGAGUGAGGAGGGUUUUCGGUGCGUAAGGCGCUGUUGUUAAGGAAGCGGUACUUAACCAGAAAGGGACGGCUAACUACGUGCCAGCCGCCGCGGUAAUAC
rnacentral:rRNA from 1 species